rfam:Planktotalea frisia strain SH6-1 PFRI_contig000161, whole genome shotgun sequence.
GCGACAGACAGCAAGCUGCCGGACGCGCAAUCGGGGUUUGAAAAGGCCUUGUCGGUAACACUUGCCGCCCAAGCCGGGGCCAACCUGAUCACUCAG